UAAUACAUGCAAGUCGAGCGAGCGGAACUAACAGAUUUACUACGGUAAUGACGUUAGGAAAGCGAGCGGCGGAUGGGUGAGUAACACGUGGGGAACCUGCCCCAUAGUCUGGGAAUACCACUUGGAAAACAGGUGCUAAUACCGGAUAAGAAAGCAGAUCGCAUGAUCAGCUUUUUAAAAGGCGGCGUAAGCUGUCGCUAUGGGGAUGGGGCCCCCGCGGGUGCAUUUAGCUAGUUGGUAAAGGGUAAAAGGGCUUACCAAGGCGAUGAUGCAUAGCCGAGUUGAGAGACUGAUCGGCCACAUUGGGACUGAGACACGGCCCAAACUCCUACGGGAGGCAGCAGUAGGGAAUCUUCCACAAUGGACGCAAGUCUGAUGGAGCAACGCCGCGUGAGUGAAGAAGGUUUUCGGAUCGUAAAGCUCUGUUGUUGGUGAAGAAGGAUAGAGGUAGUAACUGGCCUUUAUUUGACGGUAAUCAACCAGAAAGUCACGGCUAACUACGUGCCAGCAGCCGCGGUAAAU
rnacentral:rRNA from 1 species